AUUGAACGCUGGCGGCAGGCCUAACACAUGCAAGUCGAGCGGAUGAGAGGAGCUUGCUCCUUGAUUUAGCGGCGGACGGGUGAGUAAUGCCUAGGAAUCUGCCUGGUAGUGGGGGAUAACGUUCCGAAAGGAACGCUAAUACCGCGUACGUCCUACGGGAGAAAGCAGGGGACCUUCGGGCCUUGCGCUAUCAGAUGAGCCUAGGUCGGAUUAGCUAGUUGGUGAGGUAAUGGCUCACCAAGGCGACGAUCCGUAACUGGUCUGAGAGGAUGAUCAGUCACACUGGAACUGAGACACGGUCCAGACUCCUACGGGAGGAAGCAGUGGGGAAUAUUGGACAAUGGGCGAAAGCCUGAUCCAGCCAUGCCGCGUGUGUGAAGAAGGUCUUCGGAUUGUAAAGCACUUUAAGUUGGGAGGAAGGGCAGUAAGUUAAUACCUUGCUGUUUUGACGUUACCGACAGAAUAAGCACCGGCUAACUUCGUGCCAGCCGCCGCGGUAAUAC
rnacentral:rRNA from 1 species